rnacentral:rRNA from 1 species
AAAGCGCACGUAGGCGGAUCUUUAAGUCGGGGGUGAAAUCCCGGGGCUCAACCCCGGAACUGCCUUCGAUACUGGGGAUCUUGAGUCCGGAAGAGGUGAGUGGAACUCCUAGUGUAGAGGUGGAAUUCGUAGAUAUUAGGAAGAACACCAGUGGCGAAGGCGGCUCACUGGUCCGGUACUGACGCUGAGGUGCGAAAGCGUGGGGAGCAAACAGGAUUAGAUACCCCGGU